rnacentral:rRNA from 1 species
CCUACGGGAGGCAGCAGUGAGGAAUAUUGGUCAAUGGGCGGAAGCCUGAACCAGCCAAGUAGCGUGCAGGAUGACGGCCCUACGGGUUGUAAACUGCUUUUAUACGGGAAUAACGCGCCUUACGUGUAGGGCUUUGCAUGUACCGUAUGAAUAAGGACCGGCUAAUUCCGUGCCAGCAGCCGCGGUAAUACGGAAGGUUCGGUCGUUAUCCGGAUUUAUUGGGUGUAAAGGGUGCGCAGGCGGAUUUUUAAGUCAGCGGUCAAAUCGUGGGGCUCAACCCCAUCCAGCCGUUGAAACUGGGGAUCUAGAGUGUGCGAGAGGUAUGCGGAAUGCGUGGUGUAGCGGUGAAAUGCAUAGAUAUCACGCAGAACCCCGAUUGUGAAGGCAGCUUACCAAGCUACUUCUGACGUUGAGGCACGAAAGCGUGGGGAGCAAACAGGAUUAGAUACCCGGGUAGUC